rnacentral:rRNA from 1 species
UACGGGGGGUGCGAGCGUUGUCCGGAUUUACUGGGCGUAAAGAGCGUGUAGGCGGCCAAACAGGUCCGUUGUGAAAACUGGAGGCUCAACCUCCAGACGUCGACGGAAACCGUGUGGCUAGAGUCCGGAAGAGGAGAGUGGAAUUCCUGGUGUAGCGGUGAAAUGCGCAGAUAUCAGGAAGAACACCAAUGGCGAAGGCAGCUCUCUGGGACGGUACUGACGCUGAGACGCGAAAGCGUGGGGAGCGAACAGG